ACAGACAAGGUAUUAGAACCUGUCUAAUGAUGUAAUGUAUCCAACCUGUUCAACAGGUAUGACAAAAACAUAGAUAAACUGAUUAAAAAUGUGUUGUAACAAAGCUAAAAACACAUGACAAGUGUGACAGCCACACAGUAAACAUCUGUUAAUCUCACAGAAUAUCAUGAAUCGAUCAGUGCUCGUUACUCCUGCAGCCUCCACCUGCAGCACACCUGAGUCACAUGAUCAGCUCGUCACCACUGAGGACCAGGACAGAAGACACCGCUGUAGAUUAAACCACGCAACUUAACAAAGUGAUUAAAACGAGCUCAACCUGACCUGCCGUCUAAUUUUGAUUCUGCAGUUGUCAGCUGUCGUUCCAGUGUGAAGUCUUUGUGACUCUCUUCAGGUCCAGAUCAGCAGCGACCACCUCAUCUCAUCCGGAUCUUCAGCCAUCUUCUCCAUCCCAGCACCAGCACCAGCACCAGCACCAGCCUCUGUUCACAGUCCAUUCACAACAAGACAAUCAGAUCAGAGGAAGACUGAUCUCAUCGACUUGUGGGCAAAGAAUACAAGAUAUCUCAGGACGCUCCUCCGUCAGUGACUCGCUCCUCCGUCACGGGUCUGUUCCCAGGACAGUAAUCUGCAGGAAGUGAUUUAAACAUAAUUCUCACAGACGGAGCAAGAGAAACAUGCUAAUUGUUGAAUUCCCUCCCAGUUUUUCUCCCCAGCUGUAAAUCUGCAGUUCAAUGGAGGAGGAUGAAUUUAAUGUCUUGCAUAAGCUGCAUUAAAAUGAAAGAUGUCACCCUCCCUCGGCCUCUUUUUAAAUCAGCCUCGGCCGAUAAGUCAUCACGAGGCCAGUGUUGCCAGGAGGCAGCUGGCUGAAGGCCAUCCGACCGUCAGUCACAGUGAUUUGUCUGCAGCCACACCCGCAGUAACUCACCGUCUAAUCAAACAGCCGUCAAUACUCCACGCUGAGCUCCGACUGCAGGUGCUCUUCACUGCAGCCUGCAGCCUGCAGCUCAGUCUGAAGAGACACGAGGACGUCUUCACUGUCUGGACCUGAGCUCAGUGUCCGUGUCUGAAAGUCUUGUUUGUUUGUUUCCUUCAGCAGUUUGUCGUGCGACUCGGACCUGCAGUGAUCUCCGUUCAUCUUUAGACUCUGAAGCUAAAACUGUUCUUAUUUUACACUUUCUCCAACCAGUAAUGACUGAAAACUAAAACCUCUGAGCUUUCAAAAUGCUUUUAUGUAAAAAACAAAUGUUUGAAUUGAUUUAUUCAUGGGCCUUUCUUUAUUCUUUUAUCUUUCAUUAUCUCUUCAUUAAACUGCACUUUAACUUUAA